rnacentral:rRNA from 1 species
AGAGUUUGAUCCUGGCUCAGGACGAACGCUGGCGGCGUGCUUAACACAUGCAAGUCGAACGAUGAAGCGGUGCUUGCACCGUGGAUUAGUGGCGAACGGGUGAGUAAUACGUGAGUGACCUACCUUUGACUCUGGGAUAAGCCUGGGAAACUGGGUCUAAUACCGGAUACGACCAAUCUCUGCAUGGGGUGUUGGUGGAAAGCGUUAUGGAGUGGUUUUAGAUGGGCUCACGGCCUAUCAGCUUGUUGGUGAGGUAAUGGCUUACCAAGGCGACGACGGGUAGCCGGCCUGAGAGGGUGACCGGCCACACUGGGACUGAGACACGGCCCAGACUCCUACGGGAGGCAGCAGUGGGGAAUAUUGCACAAUGGGCGCAAGCCUGAUGCAGCGACGCCGCGUGAGGGAUGACGGCCUUCGGGUUGUAAACCUCUGUUAGCAUCGAAGAAGCGAAAGUGACGGUAGGUGCAGAGAAAGCGCCGGCUAACUACGUGCCAGCAGCCGCGGUAAUACGUAGGGCGCGAGCGUUGUCCGGAAUUAUUGGGCGUAAAGAGCUUGUAGGCGGUUGGUCGCGUCUGCUGUGAAAGGCCGGGGCUUAACUCCGGUUUUGCAGUGGGUACGGGCUAACUAGAGUGCAGUAGGGGAGACUGGAAUUCCUGGUGUAGCGGUGGAAUGCGCAGAUAUCAGGAGGAACACCGAUGGCGAAGGCAGGUCUCUGGGCUGUAACUGACGCUGAGAAGCGAAAGCAUGGGGAGCGAACAGGAUUAGAUACCCUGGUAGUCCAUGCCGUAAACGUUGGGCACUAGGUGUGGGGGACAUUCCACGUUUUCCGCGCCGUAGCUAACGCAUUAAGUGCCCCGCCUGGGGAGUACGGCCGCAAGG